CUGAUUGCCUUGCCAUAUCAUAUCUUGGCCGCCGCCUUCUGAUACGUGGGCCCAAGUCCAAUUUUUAGUUUAGCAUUUCUUUUAUACAUCUGUAAUAUGUGUACGGCAUGUGGGACUUUUAGUCCGGAUUAUUUUUUCUGUUAAAGAGCACUUCACUUCUUGAAAGUCAAGAUUGGGAUUCCUUCACCCACCUUCCACUCACAUUUACCGCUCCUUCAUUUUUUAUCAUCAGAUUUCUUACUCUUCCAUGAGCACCACUCACGAGCUGACACCUCCGCCACUUUGUCAGCCUUUCUCUAAGUCGUGCCAGCGUACUUCCACCUCGUUCCUGUGAGGCUGCCUAUCCAAAACAUUUCAUUCAAUCAGCUUCUUGAGAGUUCUUUCAUCCAUUUCUCUCACGAGAGCUCUCCUCUGCGGAACCACAACUUCACUUGAACCACCGGACUUCUCACCAUUAAACCACAUCAAAAUCUUCCUCUUUUACAGAUCCAAGACAUGGACAAUCUUUUCAACCAGGUUUGCCCUAAAUCCACCAACUGAUUUCAUUAAAUCCUCUUCGCCUAGGGUUUACUCCGAUUAAAAUCACUUCUCCACUGUUCAAAUCCGUUUCCGCCUGAAACGUUUUUGACCGAACAGACCUUCGAAUCCUAGGGUUUGCAUCUUCCACUGUUUCUUCUGUCCGGUUAUCUGCUCGAUCCGUGCCAAAUCGAUGAUUCCUUGCCGGAGUGGACCUUAUCACCUUCGCACCCACCCUUUACACCUUACGGCUGGACUUAAUCUGCGUAAAGCAAUUUUAACAAUUCUUAGCCUCUGUGGAUUUGACACCAGUACAAAUUAUUGAUCUCAUCCCAAUGUUUCUUUCUUCUUUUCUUUUACACUCCUUCCACCCUUCCAUCUUUCCGUUCUUCCAUCUUCAAAUUAGGUGAGAUUUAUUUGCUUCACCUUUUAAGAAUUAACUAAAGUAGUAAAAAAGCUUGCAAUUCAUUACGAGAUAGCUGUUAAAGUAAAUUUUAUACUAUAACCAAAACAUUCAAUUUAAUUAAUUUAGUUGUGCUAUUGUUCUUUCAUAAUAUAACCAUAGUCACUUUAUUGUUCUUUCAUAAUAUAACCCUUGCUUCUGGUUAUUAACUUCGAUGACUCAUUAUUCCAAGAUGCUAUGUUUUCUUAUGAAUUGCAGGAUAAAUGUUCUCCUUUCCCUAGAACGCAAACUUUUAAGUUAAUGUGAUGCAUCUUCCUCCUCUGCCAUGCCUCAGGACGUAAAAAAUAUUUAUUUGGUCAUCUUAUUGAUUUAAUUUACAUGGAUGUGAAGGUAAGUUAUACUGAAAGUACUUUUUUAUAAUUCUUUCUUCAUUAAAAAAAGAAGGUACUUUUUUUUAAUUCUUUCUUCCUUUUCCUUUACCUUUGACUUUUUUUUAACUUGCCAGAAAAGCUACAGCAGUUAAGUAUGUAAUGUAAUAGUCCAGUAAAUUAUUUUUCUUUUAAAAAUAAUGAUAUUAAUCAUCUUACUAGACAGUAUUUAUAUCAAGGAACCUCAAAUUCCUUACACUUUAUUAAAAAAUAUAUUUUCUAUAUUAAUUAUUUCUUUUAUUUUCUAGAUCCAUUUCUAGUUCUUAUAAAUCCAAUCAGUAUAAAAAAAUGAGUGUUUUCAAAUCUGAUUAUUGAAUCAGUAUAAGAAAUGCUAAAUGUUAAUCACUGAUAUUCAUGUAAUCUGAUAUAAAAAAUGUUAAAGGCUAUUGAAUCUGCCACAACGCGAGCUGCUUAUAAUUUUAGUAAAGAAAAAAAAUAGUAGAAUUUAUGCAUUGUAUGUUACUUUACUGGUUGAUAUUUCUUCGUCAAUUUUAUUAGUGGGAUAGUCUGGCGAUACAUCUUAUCCAAGUCAAUUACUGCCUUCAAGGUAUUUGAACUUAAUUAUCGGAAGAAUGUGACUUUUCCCGUGUAACUUGUAGCUUGGCAGCAAAGGCUUUUCAGACCUCUCUUCCCCUUUGUAAGGAGACAUUUUUUCCAGCUACUAUGGAGGAUCAUGUUGUUAAAAGGUUUAAUGUCCUGGAUCCAUUCCUCCAUGAGCAUUUCUGAUAGGGUUCUAAUAGAGAAACCUAAUCAAUGCUCAAACAAACACACAGGAAUGAUUCAAGAAUACUGUAUAACCCUCGCUGAUCUUAUUAUACAGUGAAAAGAAUACAAGAAUGAAGUGGAUUAUGGGAGCCUAACCUUCCCCAACAAGACUAAACAGACUGUUCUAAAUACACGAAUGAACAAAAAGUAUCUUCUAAUCUUCCACUCAACUAUUUAUACAAUGUAUUUACAGAUACAUUCCCGCCCCUUCCUAACUGUUAAAACAGUUAGGCCAACUAACUAACAACUGACUACUUAUUCACGUCUCUUCCUCCUCACAUACACUCUUAACAUCCAAUCAUUACCCUCCCCUCCAUUUUCAACCUUGUCCUCAAGGUUGAACUUUAGAAAUUGGUCCUUGAUCGUUGCCUUGUCUUCCCACGUAGCUCCUUCUAUACCCUGCUGUCGACGCCACUCUACCAGCACCUGUUGAAUCACCUCAUCUCCUUGUUGUAUUUGGCUGCUCUCCAACCUCUUUGUUGACCAACAAGUAGGUCCCUCUGCCUGCAACUCUUAUCUUUUUCAACUAUGUGAUCCCCCACCGCUUUCUUUAAUUGGGCUUCUAAAGUCUUUGACCAAUCUUUUGAUGAUGUCACUACAAUAGAGGCCACGACUAUUUGAAUACCACCAGUGGACGAAGUCCCUUUGUACACUGAUAGUAGCUACCUUGUUUGUUUUGCCGAGAUAUAUGCCAAUGAAUGAAAUGACAAGAAAUACAACGCCACCAAUAACUCCAGCUAAAACAACAAGAAGAUUGCUAUCUGAUGAGCCACUUGUAAAUGGUAGUGUAGAGUGCGGUGCAAACAGAGAAGGAGAAGGAGAAUCAUUUCGGUCAGUGAAAGCUGGCUCCUCACUCGGUGGUGGUGUUGCUGGGGCAGGUGGGGGAACUGUCUUAUUUUUGUCGAUGGGCCGUUUGAUGAAUCUUCUUACACAAGAUGGCACUUUUGUUGCCAGACCCAGUUGCCUUUCAUCUGGACGAUUAAUUCCCGCCUUCAGCAAGCCCUCAACCUGCCUCUCAAUUUCGCCCUUCAAAGGAUACUGGUACUGACAUGGGCGCCCAUUUAUAGGAUGAACUCCCUCUUUAGGUUGUAUUCGGUGCUUUUUAUUAUGUGGCAAAGGCAAUCCAUGCAAAUUUCGAAAUAAGGGAUAGUGUUCUUGCAGCACAACUUUUAAUUGCUUUUUCUGUGCCUCUGUCACGUCGUCACCCCACUCACCGCUGUCCCCUGGCUCCACUAUGCACAGAUUCCCAACCGCAGCCCAUGACUCAGCUUCCACCCACUUCAACAAGCUCCUAGAGUUCACCAGCUGUCUCGACAAGGUUGGGUUGUCUUUUAUACAGAUUUUUUUAUCCCCUACAUUAUAAGCCAUGGUCAUUUUCCCCCAAUUGGUACUUACUUCCCCUAGCUUUUCCAGCCAUGCAACGCCCAGAAUCACAUCCACUCCUCCUAACUCAAACACGUAAAAUUCCUCUUCCAUGUCGACCUCCUCCAAUCGCACCGUCACCCGGUCACAAUGCCCCUGGGUGAUUUUUUUAUACCCAUUGCCUAAGCUCACCGAGUACGACGGCUUAUUUGUCACCGGCAACCUUAGCUCCUCUGUCAGCCCUUUAUUGAUGUAAUUAUGACUGACACCGCUAUCUAUCAACACUACGACAUCUCUGUCACCAAUUCUGCCCUUCAACAUCAAGGUCUUCGUGGACGUCUGCCCCUCUGCCAAACAAACUGAGAGUUCCAUCAGCUUCUCCUCCAGGUUGACAGUUUCUGUACCAACAUCCUCCUCCUCAUCCUCUGCCAACAAAAGUACUCUCAAACUCUUCUCUGGGCACCGAUGUCCUGGUGCGAACGGAUCUCCGCAUCGGUAGCAACGCCCUUUUUCUUUCCUUUCGAGAAACUCUGGGUAUGGCAAAUUCCUUACCAUUCUCCCUCGAUUAUCGCCCCCGUUCACAUUGCUUUCCCUUGCAUUCACAUUCGUAGUGACGCUGUCCCUUCUUACUGACCCUACACUUUCCAUUCUCCCCGACAUGUUGACCGGAGGAUGGUUCUGAUCCGCACGUAACACACUGCCCACUGAUCGCAUGCCAAUUGGGUUUAUUCUGCACCUGUUCGCGAACCCACCCUGUGCUCUAACCAUCACAUCCUCCACGUCACAUGCAACCCUCAUCGCUUCCCUCAAUUCCGAUGGGUUUUGAAUUCUGACUUGCCCCUUCACGUCUUCUUUCAGCCCCGCAAGGAAAUACCCCAACACUUGCUCUUCGGGUAUAUUCUUAGUUUGACCCAUCAACAUUUCAAACUCCCGAACAAACUCUUCCACAUUGCCCUCUUGACGAAGCGUCGCCAACCUCUCGAAUAUUGUCCCCCUAAAACCUCCUCCAAAUCGAUUGAUCAUCGCAGCCUUCAACCCUUCCCACGAACGGUUUCUUGCUUUUUCUUUCCAGAAAGUAAACCAGUAAGCGACACUCCCUUCCAUGCUCACGUACGCUAUCUCUACUUUCUCCUCAUCACUCAUCACCUUCUGUAUAUGGAAAAACCGCUCCGCUCUGUUAAGCCAACUAAGUGGCUCAACCCCGUCAAAGGUGGGUAAUUCUACUCGCUUUCUCCACGACCUCUGUUCUCCUCUUCUUCCGCCUUUCCCUUGCCGCCCAUUUCUCCCACAACUGGUGGACGUUGUCAUUCACCGAACUGUCAUCUGAACUCCCGUCUGCUUGGUUGUUCGGGUUCCCAAGAAUCUUCAUAAUCUGCUGUAAGUCUCGUCGAACAGCCGCUGACUUAGCCUUCAUCCCUUCCAACGUAAUUUUGAUGGCCUCAAAUCGCGCCUCCGUCGCGUCCUCCAUUUCUCGUGUCUCGUCACUUCCCCAAAAGUGUAUCCGGCAGGUUGGACCAAAUUGAUAGGGUUCUAAUAGAGAAACCUAAUCAAUGCUCAAACAAACACACAGGAAUGAUUCAAGAAUACUGUAUAACCCUCGCUGAUCUUAUUAGACAGUGAAAAGAAUACAAGAAUGAAGUGGAUUAUGGGAGCCUAACCUCCCCCAACAAGACUAUACUGUCUGUUCUGAAUACACGAAUGAACAAAAAGUAUCUUCUAAUCUCCCACUCAACUAUUUAUACAAUGUAUUUACAUAUACAUUCCCGCCCCUUCCUAACUGUUAAAGCAGUUAGGCCAACUAACUAACAACUAACUACUUAUUCACGUCUCUUCCUCCUCACAUACACUCUUAACAUCCUAUCAAUUUCCAUUGCAAUUUCAGAUGAAAGGUGAUACUUGGUGAUAUAUUCAUGCCCUGUUACUACUUACAAAAUUGUGGUAAUGAUUUAGUGAACAUGAUCUGUCUUGUACCAAAACAUUGGUAGUAUAGCAAUUAAACAAUUCUUUUAAUCCUAAAACAAGUUUAUAGUUUAGUUUGUCUCCUUAAUUUGUGAAUUAUAUUGUCAAUAUUGAAAUGUGUUAGCAGAAGUUAGACCUUGAUGUUGUUUGGUUUGUUCAUUUUCUUUCCAGUAUGUUUGGUGCAGUACCUGCA
rnacentral:lncRNA from 1 species